rnacentral:rRNA from 1 species
AACGAACGCUGGCGGCAGGCUUAACACAUGCAAGUCGAACGCCCCGCAAGGGGAGUGGCCGCCGGGUGAGUAACGCGUGGGAACAUACCCUUUUCUACGGAAUAGCUCUGGGAAACUGGAAUUAAUACCGUAUACGCCCUACGGGGGAAAGAUUUAUCGGGGAAGGAUUGGCCCGCGUUGGAUUAGCUAGUUGGUGGGGUAAAGGCCUACCAAGGCGACGAUCCAUAGCUGGUCUGAGAGGAUGAUCAGCCACAUUGGGACUGAGACACGGCCCAAACUCCUACGGGAGGCAGCAGUGGGGAAUAUUGGACAAUGGGCGCAAGCCUGAUCCAGCCAUGCCGCGUGAGUGAUGAAGGCCUUAGGGUUGUAAAGCUCUUUCACUGAUGAAGAUAAUGACGGUAGUCGGAGAAGAAGCCCCGGCUAACUUCGUG